rnacentral:lncRNA from 1 species
AUGCCGGCGACCCGUGCUUCGCGCUGCACCUCCGAUCCGUGCCACCCCGGUUGGAUCUGGACGGCUGGCGUCUGCCGGCGCUGGCUAGCGACAGUGGCGGCUGACAAUGGCGGCUGGACGGUGGUGGCUGGAUGGGGGUGUCCGUGGCGGUGGCGGUGGCGGUGGCGAUGGUGGCUGACGGUGGUGGCUGGCGACGGUGGUGGCUGUGGUAGUGGCGGUGGCGGCUGUCGACGAUGGUACCUAGGGCGGCGAUGGUUGAAGGCCAUCAUCCGGCUGACGGUGCGUCAUCGUCGGCGGCGGUAUGUGGAGGCGGGGAAGGGGUCUAGAGGCGGGGAAGGAGGAGUCUGGGUGCGGGCGCGCCGUCGACGGCGGGAACAAUUGUGGGCGGGAAUCGCGGGCGAAAGCCUUGCUGAGCCAUUUGGCCAGCUGAUGGCGUCAUUCCCCUCCUUGGAGGCGUUCAUACCCCUUUCCUUUCCCUACCAUAUUCUCCGGGUGAAAACCUUGCUUCGGUUCCGAACGAGCGGUGGCGGCGAUCCACGUCACAUCCUCCUUGGGGGCACCGCUUUGGAAAAAUCUCUUCGUGCAAGGAUAUUGUCAUUGGUCUAUGCAUUGGCUUCGAACUUCAGUCCUAGGUCUGGACGAGGCCUUCUAGCUCCACAUUUUGUUUUGUUUUUCUCAGUUUGGGUCAUCUCUUCUCUUGUUUGGUGUGUUCAACUUGUCUUAACUAUACUCUCUUCUGGAGUAGAUCUCUGUAAUAAUUGGCUGUAGUUCUUUUUGA